rnacentral:misc_RNA from 1 species
AUUAGACCGGUAUGUAUUUUUAGUUAAUGCUGAUCAAAUGAUUGAUGAAUCAUUGAGGUGUUCCUUGUGCUUUAUUUAAUUUUUGAAAUCAAUUCAAGGAGCUUCUAUGUUCCUCAAGUAACUAUUAGAAAAAGUUAAAGAAAGUGGUACAAUCAUAGGGCAUUAUGAGUAGAAGUAACCUUAAAACAAAUAGCAAUAAAUAAAGCAAUUAUAAAAAUAAAAAAAUGAAAAAAAGAAGUUGAAGUAGGAUAAGUAUGGAAAUGUAAUUGUUCUACCAAAAAGUAAUAUAUAAAAGAAGUUCCAACCUGUUAACAACCAUUUUUUUGCUUUGUUUUAAAUUGUAUUUGUUCUGAGUUGGAAUGCUGUUUUCUCCAUCCUUUGAUACUGUUUUGUUGUAGCCUUAACAAAAAUUCAUGUCAAAACAACUCCUUUAGUAGGUGUGUGAAAUUUUCUCUAACUAUAGAGUGCUGAAAACUGUCGGCAUGGUUAAGUUGUUUGAGCUGGGGGUUGCCUUCAUCAAAAUAGCUUAAGCUAAUUUGACUUGGCUCU